GAUGAACGCUGGCGGCGUGCCUAAUACAUGCAAGUCGAGCGAACAGACGAGGAGCUUGCUCCUCUGACGUUAGCGGCGGACGGGUGAGUAACACGUGGAUAACCUACCUAUAAGACUGGGAUAACUUCGGGAAACCGGAGCUAAUACCGGAUAAUAUAUUGAACCGCAUGGUUCAAUAGUGAAAGACGGUUUUGCUGUCACUUAUAGAUGGAUCCGCGCCGCAUUAGCUAGUUGGUAAGGUAACGGCUUACCAAGGCAACGAUGCGUAGCCGACCUGAGAGGGUGAUCGGCCACACUGGAACUGAGACACGGUCCAGACUCCUACGGGAGGCAGCAGUAGGGAAUCUUCCGCAAUGGGCGAAAGCCUGACGGAGCCACGCCGCGUGAGUGAUGAAGGUCUUCGGAUCGUAAAACUCUGUUAUUAGGGAAGAACAACUGUGUAAGUAACUAUGCCCGUCUUGACGGUACCUAAUCAGAAAGCCACGGCUAACUACGUG
rnacentral:rRNA from 1 species